AAACGGAUCAUGAUGAUUUAGGGGAGCGCAGAGCGGACGCAGCAGCGCUUUGACUUUGGACUUUGUCAUCAGCGUUUAUAGUGGCUAUCUGGGAAUAUAUAUGUGUACUUGCCAGUGACACCUUCAACACGUUUGUUUCAUUUUGCGGUCGAUGAUUAGUUGGAAUAUUGUUUGACAUGGAAUGAAAUUAACUGUAGCCUAAUAUGUUGAAUGCUAAUUGUGCAUUUUAGUGCUCGAGUAGGCUCGACUACCCGAUAGAGCUGCUCACUCUGUAAAUCUUUUUCGAUGUUGGAACGGUCAGCAGAGGAUAAGGACAUGGACGACUUCAGACGGGUCGCCUUCCGGAGGAAACCCCGAACUUUUGUCGAAUCCGACAUGGAGCAUGAUGAAUAUUCAGUGCCUCCGAAGCCAGUGCACCUCCAGAGCCAGGUGACGGUGCCUGCUGGCCCCCUGCUGGCGCUGGGGCGCGUGGAGAGAGGACUCUUCAGAGCCACCAUGGAGGAGGGAGGAGGAGGGGCGGUGACUGGGAAGAGGCGGGAGAAACCCUCCAAAGUCUUGGACCUCAUCAACCACUUUGAGGAGAACAGCCAGUCGGAAAUCAAGAGGGAGGGCUCGCCACUGAAGCAGCUUAGCAAGUCCCCCCUCUGCAGCCGGCUCACCGGUGCUACCAGACAGUCUGAGCCCAAACAACGGACAACAACUUAGGCUCUGUCCCAGGAACGCCACGGAUGCUCACAAACCAGCGAAUAACGGGGUGCGCCAGAUGGACCAGAGACAGGGACAGGGAGAGUGGAUCCCCCCUGAGGACCGACACUGCCCUGGUGAAUGGGGACAUGGGGUACAGGAGCACAGAGCAGGUGGGGAUAACUCCCCUACAAACACAGAGACAGGAGACCCUUCCCGAGACAGAGACCCCCCCGAGACAGAGACCAUACCGAGAAAGAGACCCUUCCCGAGACAGAGACCCACUACCGAGACCAUACCGAGCCAGAGACCCAUACCGAGCAGACCCAUACCGGACGAGACCCAUACCGAGAC
rnacentral:lncRNA from 1 species